UACAGGGGGUGCAAACGUUGCUCGGAAUCAUUGGGCGUAAAGCGCACGUAGGCGGUUCGUUAUGUCGGAUGUGAAAGCCCUUGGCUUAACCGAGGAAGUGCAUCCGAAACUGGCGAGCUAGAGUACGAAAGAGGAUCGCGGAAUUCCCGGUGUAGAGGUGAAAUUCGUAGAUAUCGGGAGGAACACCAGAGGCGAAGGCGGCUCGCUGGACAAGUAUUGACACUCAACUACGAAAGCGUGGGGAGCAAACAGG
rnacentral:rRNA from 1 species